rnacentral:rRNA from 1 species
AGAGCGAACGCUGGCGGCAGGCCUAACACAUGCAAGUCGAGCGCCCCGCAAGGGGAGCGGCAGACGGGAGAGUAACACGUGGGAACGUACCCUUUGGUUCGGAACAACACAGGGAAACUUGUGCUAAUACCGGAUAAGCCCUUACGGGGAAAGAUUUAUUGCCAAAGGAUCGGCCCGCGUCUGAUUAGCUUGUUGGUGAGGUAACGGCUCACCAAGGCUACGAUCAGUAGCUGGUCUGAGAGGAUGAUCAGCCUCACUGGGACUGAGACACGGCCCAGACUCCUACGGGAGGCAGCAGUGGGGAAUAUUGGACAAUGGGCGCAAGCCUGAUCCAGCCAUGCCGCGUGGAUGAUGAAGGCCCUAGGGUUGUAAAGUCCUUUCGGACGGGAAGAUAAUGACGGUACCCGUAGAAGAAGCCCGGCUAACUUCGCGCCAGCAGCCGC